GUAGUGAUACAUGAUGGAAUUCGCAAAGAAAAGAUAUGCCCAGUCAAAGACUGCUUUUUUAGCACAUCAAGCAACAAAGAUUUGAAUCGCCAUAUUCGCAAACAUACAGGUGAGAAACCCUAUAGAUGUGAUGAGUGUGGCACAUGCUUUUCUCGUGGUGACAAGCUUAAAGUCCACCGAAGGAUCCACACAAAUUCAAGACCAUAUUUAUGUGAUGAACCUGGAUGCCAGUAUAGAGCAAUUGACUCAGGCAGUCUACGGAAACACAAGAGAACACAUACCAAUGAACGUCCAUACAGAUGUCAGCUAUGUUCUUAUAGUGCUAGGGAUGGAUCUCAGCUAACUGUGCAUCUCAGAACCCAUACAGGU